rnacentral:lncRNA from 1 species
CAGAAGAACCUCGAAAUCCUGGAACCACCCAAACCCUCAAAGACAUAUAAGAUCCAUAUGUGUCAAACAACAUUGAACCCUAAAGGUGUCAACGUACAAAGAAUUGGUUGUCUCCCACUCGUAAGGGGAGCCGCGCGAUGCCUAGAGAAUUUACCAAAGAAUCACUCCCAAGAAUGAAAAAUAAUCCAAUCAACAUGUUGCUGCUCAGUCUCGAAGUUACUUCUUGAGAAAGGUCAUUACGAACUUUUCAAAUAUACCACACAUUCGCAUGCCCUAGCUCUCCUCCUAUAUACACCUAAAAGAGAACACACCAACUAAAUGUUAAGAACUCGGACACUGCAUAUCAAAUGCUCAUACACGACUACCAUAUUUGAUGUACUGAUUGUGUACUCUUUUUUUUUAUCCAAAAGUACUAAAAGUAAAUGAAGAAAGAAUAUGAGGAAGUAUACAUAGUACAUUUUUAUUUGUCUAAAAAGUAGUGAAAAUUUAACAUGGUUGGUUAUUAUAAAGUAAAACUAGCAGCCCUAAACACCGUAGUAGCAAACUUAAGCCAAACCCAUGCUGGCCCAUCAACUUAUAUAAUAAUUACCCACGAACGUUAGUGGAAAAACUCGGUUGCAUAUUUUAUUGUCUCCCCUAUAAUUGUUAUAACCUACAAAUACUUAUACGUCACUUAAAUUUGAGCAAUCUCAUCCAUAAAUUCCCACCCCACAAGGCCACAACAACGAUUAAAGAAACAAAUUAAGAGAGAUUAUACAUACAUAUACACUCCUACUUAGGUCCAUUCCACCAAUUAAAGGAAUCACAAACAAGAAGAGAAAAAUAAAAUAGCUAGAGAGAAAUACAUAAAGAUGAGUGAAGAAUGUGGUGGAAACACUAUUGCUACCUCUACUACUCCAUUAAACUGGUGGUAUCUUCAAGCAAAUUCUCUUUCUUCUAAUUGGAAUGAUGUUAAACAUGCAUGGAACAACCAAAUGAAUAAUCCAAAUUCUUCCUCUUCUUGUGAGGAUCAAGAUAUAUCAGUUUCUUCUACAUCUUUCACCAAUGCAUCAAACCAUUCAAGCCUCACUGUUGAAUCCUCUCGAAGAGUAUUCGUCGAGCCGCAUGCACCACCUUCCUCCAACGACUUCAUGGCCGAACAUGCUUCGGAUAACCAACUAUGGAGUCAUGUUUUAUCGUAAGUUUCGUAAAUUGUUAAUUAUUACAAUUGUGCUAUAUGUUAUAAUGAAAACUAGUCUCAAUAUCACGAAAUAAUGUGCGUUAGAAUUUCAGUACAAAGGAAAAAAAAUUCAUAUGCUAUUGACUGAAAACAUGGAUCUGUCCAAUGAUAUUAUUUUGUGACACUUCUUAAUGGAACCCCUUCAUGACAGUAAACAAUUUCCUAAUUAUUAAUAAAUAUCUGAUGUUUUUACUGCUAUAUAUUAUUGAAACUGGCAAAAAAUUUUAUUGCUAUAUAAGAGACAAAUCUUUUACAGUUUUAGGUUAGAAAUUUUGUGAAGUUUAAGGGUGUUUUAAGUUAGGUAUAUAGGGUUAAAGUAUACGAUGGUUUUUUUCAGUGUGAGUAAAUAAUAUUCUUCUAGGCCUUUGCUUUCCACUAUCUAUAACAUGCUAACAGCUGUUAUGUGCACUAUAAUCAGUGUUUUCACACUAUGCAACAAUGAUCUCUUGUUUAUCCAUCCACAUACCAAUAAAAACCCUCUUGGAUUCUGUAAGAUAUAUAAUUAAAAAGUAAAUUUAUUAUAUAUUUUAGUAUAUAUACAGCUAAUUAGCUUUUUGUUUUGAUAAGAAAUGUUUGUAUAUUUUAAUUACAACUAAUUUACUUUCUUAUGUAAAAUAAUUUAUAGAGGUGUUGAUUCAAAUGGAGAGUUACACAACAACCAAGAAAUUGGAGAGAAUUUCUUGGAUGGACUAUCAUCAAAAACCAUGACAAACACUAUGUUUGAUGAACCAGCUUGUGACUAUUUGAAGAAACUUGAUACAACAAGUUGGGAAUAUAAUACUAGUGGUUCAACUUCAUUCAAUACUAAUUUUGAGAAGCACUUAAAUGGGUACAGUGAAGCUCUUAUUGAGAAUAAUGAAAGGUUGACAAAAUUAUCCAAUCUUGUAAGCACUUGGUCUAUUGCCCCACCUGACCCUGAAGUUAGUAGCCACUUUGAUUCACAAACAAAUAACAAUUUGUCUACUAAUUUGAAUAAUUCUAAUUCGUCCAAUAUGGAUCAUAAUCACUACACACAUGAUUCUGACCCUAAUUGUCAUUUCAAACUACCUUUUGGUGAUUCCACAUCAUGUACUAUUAGAGAAGGAGUAGGUAAUAAAAUGUUCCCUAGUUGCCUUGAUAUUCAAGACAUGAAUAAGGUUAAGGAAGAAUAUCAUCAUCAUGCAAGUGAAGUGAUGCAAGGACAUGUAUUUAGAAAAUCACUUAAUCCAAAUGGAUAUCUUGAUGGAUUUAACUCAGUGGGAGAUCACAAUGGCAAAUUUUAUGAAGGGUUGCCAAAUAUUUCACCAUGCACCAAAAAUUUCUCAGAUGUUAUAUCCUUUAAUAGUAGGCUUGGAAGGCCAGUUGUUGGAAUCCAUCCACAAAGGCCUAAUAUGAGAUACUCAAACUUAUCUGAGUCAAAGAAACAAGGGCUUCAAACACCAUCACAUGUGAGUUUUUUCUUCUUCUUUUAUAGACAAAUUUUAUUUGUUAAUUUGUUUUGUUAGCAGCAUACAAAUUUCACUUAAAAUAGUGAUGAUCCAUCUUUAUAUCCUAUAUUUUUGAGAGAUCCAUAUUUUUCUAAAACGGUAAAAUUUAUUAAUAAUUAAGUUUCUGCACUAGACGAACAGAGACCUGUAAAAUAUAUAUGAGACAAAUCCGAAAAAAUAUAUGAAGUAGCGACAAAAAAUUUAAAAAGAAAUUUUUAUAAUGUAUUUGUCUCUAUAAAUUAGACAUGGAAAUUUAAUUAUUUUUGUUUCUAAUUUCUUGGUUGAUUUAACUUUUUUUAGUAUGGCAACUAAUUUCUAUUCAAAAUUUAGAGAAAAAGUCAUGCUAGCUCUGACAUUAUUUUGUCAAAUAAAAUGUGUAUGCAAUUAAUUUAUGCAGAUGAGAACCACUAAUGGAAGAGGAGAGGGAACAACACGUGAAGUAAAGAAGAAAAGAUCUGAAGAAUCAUCAGAAGCAAGUUUGAAAAAGCCUAAGCAAGAUACUUCAACAACAAAUUCAUCUUCAAAGGUACAUAAAUAUAUUUAUUAUAUAUUAUGUAAUAUACGUACCAACAUGAACUAAUUAUGAGUGUAAAAAAGUCAUAUAAAGUGGGGGAAACCUUUUUAUUUUGUGUAUUAAUGUAAAUUAAGAAACUUCUAUUGAUUGUUUAAAAGGUGCAAGCACCUAAAGUCAAGCUAGGAGACAAGAUCACAGCCCUUCAACAAAUUGUGUCUCCAUUUGGAAAGGUUACUACAGAAUGCACUAAUCCCCACACCCUCUUCCCUUUUUCAUUCCUAUCUUUUUUGUAUAAAUAAUUCACAGUGCUUUUACUUUUCUCACUACCUACUUCAUAAUAAUCAAUUUAUUUUAUUUUUCUUUGUUGAAUUUCAGACUGAUACAGCAUCUGUGCUGUUUGAAGCAAUAGGGUACAUAAAGUAUCUUGAAGAACAAGUCCAGGUGUGUAUCAUUAUGGAAAAGUUCCCAUUCAUUAUGCAUUAUAUGUAACUAUAUAGUAUAUAAUAUACAUUAUUGUUGCUUUUCUCCUCCUUUUCAUUUUUAAUUAAUGCCAAGGAAACUUGACUUCUAGGAUUAUUAGUUCUUUAUCAAAAUGAAUAAACUAACAACAAUGCUGUGUUGAGCGAUUACACAUUUUCCAUGAAUAUCUCAUGAGCUUCAUCAACUAUAUAAUAUAAGGAGAUUUUAAAUAACACCUAACUAAAAUCUAAUUAUGAUUAGUAAAAAUAUGUGCCCCUGCCAGUAUGUUAAUCUUAGCUGCAACAAAUUACAAAAUUGUAUACUAUUAGUAGAUUAAAAACAAAACAAAAUGAAAAAUAAAAAUUUUAUAGGGACUAAACAUGUUUAACCAUGUACCAAAAAAAAAACAUAUUUAACCAUAUAUACUUUAAGUGAUUAAAGAUGCAGGUUUUUUUUAUCAUAACCCUUCCAUUCCUAGAAAAUGGCCUAUAUAAUACAUGUUCCGGCCGGAAAGUAAGUAAAGUCUGACAAAUAAUCAUUUUAAGUCAUAAUUUGAAACCAAGUUUCUUCUAAACUAUUGGUAUUAAAGGUGCAGCUUCAAACACAAACAGUUCAACUAUAAGUAAUAUAAUCAUCUUUUUCUUCAUUAUAUACAAUUAACAGUUUAAUUUAUCUUUAAUUAAUUCUUUUUACGUUCAUAAUUAUUAUGCAGUUACUGAGCAACCCUUACUUGAAGGCAAAUUCACACAAGGUAAUUAAGAAAUUAAUCUAUAUAUAGAUAUCUCUAUUAAGUACUUUUCAAAAUUAAAUUAUUCUCUCAAAAUUUCACUCUUAAUUAGAGAUGAUUAACAUAAUAAUUAAUCCAGGAUCCAAGGGGAAGCUACUUCGAUAGAAAAGAUAAGGAGGAUGCAAAGCUAGACCUUCGAAGUAAAGGUCUUUGUUUAGUUCCUACUUCAUGUACCCCUAUAGUUUAUAGAGAGAACAAUGGGCCAGAUUACUGGACACCAGCGUAUAGAGGAUGUAUGUAUAGGUGAUUAAUAACACAUGCAUAUGACUUAUGCCAAAAAUAGUAUGUGGUUGUAUGUACUAUAAUCUUGGAAAUUAUAAGAUCUCGUCAAUAAAUCAUAUAUUAUCCUGAAUGUAACUAUUUAUUUAUUGUCUUGAUGUAAUGCCUGGUUACACGAGUAUACACAUUUUAGUUGACCUUCAAACAAGGGCUAGUACUUAGCAUUAUUGAUUUUUCUUUUUUUAAAGUUCUCUUACUAGAAAGAAUGUGUUUUUCAUACUAAAAAAUUACUUGAGUAAAAAAAACGAUAUUAAUAAAAAGACUCUUAAAGUAAAAAUGUUUCUCUCAGUGAUAUAGACAAAAGAUGCACAUUUUACCAAUUUAGCUCUCCAAUUACAAACAAAUUAUUAACAGUCACAAUUGUUGGAUGAUGUAAAAAUUUGACAUUAACUAAUGUUUUUUUUACGGAUUAAUAAUUUUUUUCUACGAAUAUAUAUUCAAUUUUCAUUUUCUAUAGUUUUAUUCAAAUUGCUAACGAAGGAAAUGAAACACUCAUGUAAUGUAUAUGUGUGAUAGGGAGAAGGUGAUAAGCAAACUAGCUAGGAUGAAUGUAUUUUCAAAAUCAAUGAAAAUAAUGUUUAGGCACUUUCAAAGUUUAUCAAAAAGUUUUAUAUGUUUUAAAAAAAAUGUAAAAGAAGAUUGUGAUGAAAAUAUUCUUUUAUGUUCAUUUGUUGAAGUGAAAAUAAAAAAAAAUAAAAUAAUAUUUAUUAGGUAUAAUUCAGAGUAUAAUUAAUCUCACAUUGAGUCUCUCAUUAGUUGGUUAGUCAAAAGAAUAUGAAAUUCAUUUUAUUUUCUAAUCGAAAAUUAAUUAUAGCGAAGCAAUUAGAUAAUUCACACCUAUAAUACAAUCUUUAAUUUUCUAAUAGGUGUAAAUUCUCUUAUAGGUGUGAAUUAUAGCAAUUAGGUAAUUUUCUAAUACAUACCUAUAAAAUUAUCUAAUCUAAUUGUUAUAAGAAACUUCUAAGGUACACUCAGAAAGUGAGGUGUACCGGUACUCAUGCUUCAUAAUUUUAUAAAUUAACGAUCAUUUUUUAUGAAAUAAAUAGUUAUUUGUUAAUAUUAAUAUUUUAUAGAACAUCAUUUCAUAAGAAAAAACAUCAUUUCAUUGUUUAUAAGAAUUAUAAUAAUUUUUUUUACAUAUUAUCAUAAAAAAUAAUCAAUGUUCUCAAUUAUGAGUGAAAAAAAUUCAAAAAAAAUUAAUUUUAUUUCGUUGACACUUUUGAUAAAUAAGAUUUAAUUAUUAUAAUUAUAGAUGAUAAAAAAUAAUAUUUUUCUUUAAAAAAACAACUCAUUUAACUAUUAAUUUAAAAAAUGAGUAUACCAAUACACUCAAAUAUAUUGGAUGUACCAUAAAAUUUGCAUUGUUAUAAUUAUCUUAUACCGAAGUAAUUAGAUAAUUCACAGGUGUGAAUUUUUUGAUGAUUGUAUUAUAAGUGUGAAUUAUCCAAUUGCUUCGCUAUAAUUAAUCUCCACCUAAAAUUUCACUAAUCAACUUUAGUUGAGUCUCUCUUCUCAAUUACUACCUUCGUCCUAAUUAUAAGACUCUUUUGAAAAAAUAAUGGGAAUUAAGAUAGUGGAUAUUUGUAUUAAAUAUGUUUGUAAUUACUAUUGUUUUUACAAUUUUAUCCUUUAAGAAAUAGGGUUGGCUUAUGUUUUCAACAUUUUAUUUAUUGCUGAUUGAAGAAAAAGAUGUAUAAUAAAUAGGGGCAUGUAUGUAAAGAAAUAAUUAAUGUAGUUGGAAAUAGAAAAGGGGUCUUAUAAAAAGGGACAAAAUUUUUUUCUCAAAAGGGUCUUAUAAUUAGGGACGGAGGUAGUAUGUUUUUUUUUCUUCAUCCAAAAAAACCCUUUUUAAAGUGAAAUAUCAUAGAGUUAUUUAUUUUUUCGCAAAGGACUCACCAAAUAAUGUAUACAUCACCUCAAACCCUAGUCGUCACCCUUUUCUUCUUCUUUUCAGAGGGGUGAUUUAGGGUUAUUUUUGACACAAAAUCACCCCUCCGAAUUGUUUUUUCUUCUAUCAUAAUUAAAUAACUGAUUUCACAUAUUUUCAGUUUUCUUUCGUUUGAUUUGUGAUUACGUCGUCUCUGAACGACUCUGUUUGUUUUGAUUUCCCGUCUUUAUCCGGUGUGUUUUUGAUUUCCCAUCUUAGUGCGGUGUUUAUUUGAUUCAGGUUGAAAGAUUAGCUUUAAGCAAGUGCAGAUCCGAUCAAUGACAAUGACUUUGGCGUCGUCAACGUUGCAGAUUCGGAGACAUGAGUAUUCCGGAGACAUGAAUAUAGUCAUAUUAAUUAUAUUUGUAGGCAUAGGUACUUUGCCGUUUUAUGCUAUUAACAUGGAUGCUGUGAGUUUGUUCACAGAUUCAUCCUUUUUAUUUUUAGCAAAUUUGAAUUUGUAUUGUAUCGAUGUACUCUAUCAAUUUGAAAGAAUGCAUAUUGUUUAUUUUUGUCAAAAAAAUAAUAAUAAUGUAUACAUCACCUUAUACCGUAAGAAGCAUAAAAGACACUCAUUAACAAAAUAUUUGAAUAAGAAAGCAUAGCCUGAACUAUAUAAGCUUUGGAAAGUUAAUGAAAACAAAAUAUAGUUCUCCAAAUCUAAAAACCAAGCUGAUUAAAAUUGUUGAAAUUGAACAUUUGAGUUGACUCUAGUGUUUGUCACGAUCAAUUUGCAAGAGAAGGACCAAAUUUGACAUGUAAAUCAAAAUAUUUGAUAAAAGAAUUAGUGUGCAUGUUCAUCACCUGAUGUACAGAGAAAAAUACUAAAUAAAUUAUAUAUUCAUGGAUGGUCAACUGAGAGUUAGCUAAGUGUGCAUCACAUUAAAAACUUUUGUAAUAUAUUGUAACUUUUUAGGUUAUUGUCACUAAUUCUCAGUACUUUAGAAUAUGUGAAAUUGUAGAUAGAUUCUUCAUAUAUAUAGAAUCUUCAUACAUAAAAGGUUCACACUCCAUUUUAUACUCCUUAAAUAUGGUAUCGUUUUUAAUUUUUUUUGUAUAAUCAGUAGAAUCAUAUUAUUAAUUGACUGUAGAAAAACAAAACCAUAUAUGGUGGAACAGCAUGGAUGGUUUUGAACAUGUCCACUCACUAACAUUGAACGAUUUAGGAUGAUUUAAACAAGUAAAAGAUGGGAUUGAUUCUAGAAGUAGAGAGAAUGACGUAUUGUUAAGUGCCAAUGAGAAAUUGGUCAAAGGGGAGAUGAGCAAAAAAGCCAAUUGCAAGGUUGGUGGUGCACUCAAACAUAGAUCAGUCAUGCUUCUUAUAAUGACAACCAAGACAAACACACCACCCUCACAAAUCCUCACAAUUUUUUUGGAACAAAAGUAGUUUUUUUUUUUCAUAAUCCAAAUAUAUGGAAUUGAUAUAAUGAUAUAAUUCAUUUCAGUAAUUUUGAAAUUGAUAGUAAUUUCAAAUUUUUAGAAACAUCACUCCCUUCUUUUUCUCUUCUCCUCUUUUCAUCUUCUUCGUUCGUCGAUAAGGAGUGGUUUAGAAUUAAUUUUUUUUGGCAUAAAUCACUCAUCUAAUUAAUUUUUCUAUCUUUUUAUAUAAGUGAUUUUUCGUAUAUUUUUUUUUUUUGUGAUUUUGUCAAUUUAGUACGGCCUAUUAUUUUGUUUGCCAUCUUUGCUGCUAUGUUAGUUUGUUUUUUCGUUUUGUUCUGGUGUUUAUUCUAUUUAAUUGAUAUAUUAGAUUUGAUCUGAAAGCAUUGAUAUCUCAAACACUUUAAUUUUAUUGCAUUGAUAGGCUUUAUCAUAUUUGUAUUUAUAUUUUUCUCAUUUUCCUUAUGUUCUGAGAUAGAAUAUCAAUCAUGGCAAUUUGAAUUUUGAAAUGAUAGGAAUUGAUAUUCACUUUGGCAAUUUUGAAAACUACGGAAUUGAAUUUUGAAAUAAUUUAGAUCUAAAAGAGUUGAUAUUUUUUAACCUUUUUUUUUUUUUUUGUUUUUUUACCUAAAAAAAUAUUUUUUUUCUACAUCUUGUUCGUAUAAGGAUAUUAAUUUAUUUUAUAGACUAAUAAAAAGAUUAACAUCCUUCUUCUUCUUCAGCCUACAAACUAGUUCAUCACCACCACCGACAACCUCCAUAACACUGUUAAACGUUUAAAUCCAACAUCAACAAUAGCAAACAACACCAAGAACCAUUUCCUUCCAAUAAACAAACACAAACUAAAAAUUCUUAUUCAUCGUCAACUCAAACUCAUACCACAAUCUCCGUCAUCAUCAUCGCAAUACCAGAAAACAUUUUCCCUUCAAACUAACAAACCCAAACGAAGAAACUUGCAAACUCGCUUUUGUUGCCUAUAAUUGGAUUUGCACCAUAAGAAUUUUGUUUGUGAAUUUAGAUGGUUUUAUGCUUUUAUGUGGUCGAACGUGGCAUUUGAAGCACUUUCCAUUAACAAUGUUGAUAAACUUUUUUGAACAAACAAUGUUGAUAAACUUAAAGUUGGAUGCAAUAAGCUAUUAAGGUUCAUAGUGCAAAUCGUUUUCUUUUGUUGCUAAGUUUUUUUUUGUUUUUAAAUCUUUCUUUUAUUGGAUUUGGUCCCUUGCCAAUUUCAUUUUUUUUGGUUUUCGUCCCUCUCACUUAUUGACUAAUCAACUCAUUUGCCACGUGUCAUUUGCUUGCCACAUCAUCCAUUGUCACGCCAUCAUCUGAUUGCUCUCAUACAUGUUUUUGUAACAAAUGAUGACAGCAUGAAUGAAAAUCAAAACGUUUGCAUCUUACAUAAUUUGUAUAAAAAAAUGUUUUGAGCCUGAAUUAGAAGAAGCCCGAUCUCUUUUUUUACCAUAUCAUUAAAAAUUUAUAAAGACAAUAUUUUAAACUUUUCUAAUUACCUUUUACGCCAUCAAUCACUUUUAUAUUACCAUUUUUGUAUGUGUAUAGAAUUUUUUUAUACAAUUUCGUCAAAUUUAAUGGAAAAUAUAACAUAUAGCACAACUCUUUUAACAAAGGUUAUAAGUUCAAUCCAGCUAUGAAAUGUAGCAAUGUUAAAUAUUUUGAAGAGAAGCAUUGCGAUUCAUUGCUUUUCAUCAUCUCCCAUUUUGAUGAAUGAAUUGGUAGCAAUUCUCUUUUUAAUUCGUUCAUUCAUGGGUGGAGCUGGGCUUUGUUUCUUCCAUGCCUCCUAAUUGGCCUUUUAUGUAACUUUGCUUUUCGGAAAUUGUUUUUCUCCAUUUUGUUUUUGCUUAUUUUAUUUAUAUGUCUACGUGAGGGACGUUAUACCCCCACACCUCUACACUUAUAUCUUACCCAACAAUUUUUAAAAAUUCCAAUUUUACCCCUUUUACUAUAUAAUCUUUUACACAUAAAUUUUUCACCCUCAUUUUCAACAUCUCUUAAUUAAGGAUGAGUUCACCGCCACAUGAUAUUUUUCUUGAUACUUAUUUCCUUUUUUGUUUUUCACUAUCAAACGUUUCCGAAAAUAUUUCGGAAUAUUCAUAUAUACGUUUACAAAAAUAAUAUGAGAACUAGUCUCUCUUCAAAUGAAUGAUGCAACACAACUUAUCUUUCUCCUUUGAUGGAAAAAAUUGUUCUAAUACCAAUUAUUGAAAGAAAAAAUCAAUAAAAAAUCUUUAAACAAGCGGCAACACAACCACAAAAUAUGUAAAAGAGACAAAAACAAAUCACAAGACUGUUUAUCGACACUUCACACCUUCAUUCAUAAUAUCUUAACAAAAUAUUUGUUACAAAAAUAUGCAUACUUUUACUAGGAAUUGCAAACCCUCUUAUACAAUUAUAAUUUUUGCAUAGAUAUAUGCAAACUAAUCUUUCUCAAUUACAAUUUUUGUAAGAAAAACUACAAACUCUUUUAUGACACACAACUACCCAACCUCUUUUUUUUUUUUUCAUUACUCGAUGUGCGAUGUGAAAGAAUAUCAAUUUUAGAGAACAAAUGACUAUAAUUUAUAGGUGGCCUUUAUGAUUUUUCGCACAAAUUUUCAUACUGUGAAAUGUGAAUAGAUGCAUGUGCAGAGAUGGAGUUCAUAAUUUAAAUCUUACGUUAAAAAUAAAACAAGUUUUUAAUGUUAUAGUUUAAAAAUAAAAAAUUGUUUCUUAUAUACAAUAUUUUUAUGAAUAUUUACAUAGUUUUUAAAAAAAAUUAAUAAUGAAUGGUAUAUUCGUGUCCUGUAUGACACAAUGAAACAUAUGCACAUGAAUAAAUUAUACAUUAAGCCUAAUCAUAUGAUCUGAAAAGAUUUUCUCUACAUCUCGUCGAGCUAGCAAGGUAGAUAGAUGUCAACUAAUAUAUAUACAUUAAUUUUUAAUUUGAAUUUUUUUUAACAGCGUUGGAUUGACUUAUAUGUGAUAUUUUAUUUCAUAUUAGGGUAGAGUCUGCUCAUUGGAAACUGAAGCAAAUGUUGGAAAACAGCAAAGAUGACUUGUGCAAAUGUUGGAAGGGUAUGCACAACAUGAAGUUGCAAUUAGGAAAAAUCAUAGCUUCAUUUCAAAAAAGUUUUUAUGAAGUUGAACACGCACACACAAGUCUAUUUUAUGAAAAAUUGCGUGGAUUUGUUUCUAGAGCUGCUUUAACAUGCAUUGUUGUUGAGUUUGAAAGAGUUAGAUAUAUGGAAAUCGACGAAUCGACAUGUGGUUGCAAACUCAGAACAACAUAUGGAUUGCCUUGUGCUUGUGAGUUAGGAAGAUAUAAAAUUAGUGGUAUACCUAUACCAUUAGAUUCAAUUCAUAUUCAAUGGAAGAAAUUAAGCAUGGAAAAGUCAACAAGAGGAAGACACGGAAACUGGAUAAAACGAUUGAAACUAAUAAAACCUUAUUAUAUGACUAAUAGAAUAAAAACACCCCCUUUGAAUUACAAAGUGUGGCUAGAAGGGAACAAAUACAUUAUACAGUAUAAGCAAAGAGUGUGUUAAUUACUUACAUGACCAUACCACAGGGAGCUUUUCUAUACUUGACAUUAAAUUUAAGACAGUACACGUUUACUUAAGCUUAAUUUUACUAUAUUUAGUUAGCAAAAACAGCUUUUCAACUACAGUAGUUGUUUGAAUCCUUUAAAAAAAUACAAGUAAUUGUUUUAACUUUUAAUCACACAAAUAAACUACUCCAAAAUCCAAAUACAUAAACAAGCUUGGCUAAUGUGCUCUUGAUCUUUACAGACAAAGCAACAAUCACCCUUUAAAGUCUAAACAAUCCCAUUACUUAGAGAUACACAUAAGAAAGCACAAAGAAGCCAAAUCCGAUAUAAAAAAUAAAUGUGAUACAUACACAAGUCACAUAUAAAUAAUACUUCAUCAUCAGGGAACAAUAUAUCAGUCUUUUCCAUGUACAACGAUUCAUUAAGCAAUUAAAAUAGCAAUUGCUAAUAAGAGGCGCGGACAUGACCUCAAAAUAACAGAAUUAUCACAACAGACAACAAGUAAGGAUGGAAUAACACAAUUAAGUAAGUAAUGGACAUAGUAUGAAUAACUAAAUGAAUUCUACGAAAACAAUGUAACUAUAUUUCAUUUCCAUUAAUUGCAUAUAUAGAGGUAACCUUGAUCAGUAGUAUAUCUAUGCCCAUUAAUUAGUAUAUCUAUAAAAAAAAAUAGUAGAUCAUGACAAAAGCUACUUCAGAGAGUUAAACAAAAAAUUAAAAAAGUAAUUUUUUUUUGCGCCUGAACUGGAAUUCUUGGCCAAACGAUUCCGGGAAUAAUUAACCGAAAUACUUUGAACGCGUUUUCCGGAAACUACCGGAACACUUCACACAUGGUUUCCGGAAAUCAACCGGAACACUUUGGUUAACACGAUUCCUCGGACGAUUCCAUGAAAGGACGACGGCAAUAUUUCCAGAAAACGGUUUCGUGGAAGGAUUUAUAACACUAACCCAGAAAAUUUUGAAAAACCUAACCGUGAACGAUUCGUGAAUGAUUCCAGAAAAUAAUUCAGAACAAACACAUGGAAUUAGUGGAUGAGACAGAACACAGAAUCAGAAUAAAUGAUGCUUACUUGUUUGUUGGAAGAAGAAUCAGAAGAGGGUUUUCCAGAAAAGGGGAUUGAACGUUGAAGGAGAAGGGUUUAGAGUGUGUGGGGGUGAAAAGUGAAGGGUAAUUUUGGUAGUUUGUGUUAAAUGUUGGGGUAUAGGUAUAAAUGUAGGGGUGUAGGGUAUAACGUCCCUACGUUAACUCAUGUUGAAAAAAUCGAACGUGAGUUAACUCACGUUGGGCAUAAUUAAGGGAAUGAGCAAUUUAUUGCUUUUUUCAAAUAAAAAGUUGCUUAAAAACACAUGAAAAUGACACAAACCGCUGUAGUUAUCUAAGCUUAGGGUUUUUGGUCAUUUUCAUGUGUUUUUAAGCAACUUCUUAUGUGAUUUUUUUUUUUUUUUUAAUGUUUGUAACAGCUAAGUUUAUCAACUAUUAGUCAGCUUAUAGUUUCUUAUAAUAAUAUGAGAUUUCUUUUUGGGCGAGCGUGUUUAGUUUUUUUUUAAUAAAAAUAGAUAAAUAAAAUAACUUUAAUCAUUUAAUAGUGUUUGUUUAGGUUUUUAUUUUAAAUAUUAUUGUUUUACUCUAAAAUGAAAAGCUAUUAGAAUUAACUAUCUUUAAAAAUUUUUUUUUUUUUUCAAAAAUAUAGAGGUAACACAUGAACAAGUUUUUCUAAAAAAAAAAACAAUUAUUUUUAUAGAAGUAAACAAACAGAAAUAAUUUCAGAUUUUUUAAAGAAACCUCUAAAAAGAUCUCUAGAUUUUUAUAAUACAAAAUCUUUUUUCUUUUUAAGUUGAAACAAAACACCCUUAAUCUCUUUUAUUUGAUUUACCCUAGUUACAUCGCAUAAACCUUGAAUUUCACCAUUUCUAGAAAGAAAAAAAAAGGGUUAAAUAUGUUUUUGGUCUCUAUAAAUAUACCAACUUUUCGUUUUAGUCCCUCUAAAAUUUUCCUUCAACUUUUAGUCCCUAAAAAAUUUUCAAUUACUACUUUUGGUCCCUAUUUUUAAUUUAAUUUUUGUAUUUUUUAAUAAAAUUGUACAGAAAUGUGUAAAAUAUUCUAAAAAAAAUAAAGAAAUUAGAAUUUUUUAACAAAACACAAAUUAAAUAUGAAUUUUUAACUGUAAAAAAUAUAAAAAUUCAUAUUAAAUUCAUGAUUUGUUAAAAAAUUCUAAAUUUUUUUUGAAGUGAUUCUUAUAAUAUUUUGAAUUUUUAUGGAAAAUUUUAUUAAAAAAUAUGAAUUCUAGAUAUGAGUUUACUUUAAAAAGAGACCAAAAGUGAAAAUUGAAAAUUUUAUAGGAACUAAAAGUUGAAGGAAAAUUUUAGAGGGACUAAAUGAAAAGUUGACAUAUUUAUAGGGACUAAAAAUAUAUUUAACCCAAAAAAAAAAUACCCUUAAUUUGUUUUCAAAUUUUAACGUGACCACUGCAGCAACUAUAGACAAGGGAAAAUAUGGCGAUACACGCAGACUCCAUCGGUAAGAAACCUAGGUGUUUCUAGAAAGUUUAGUGGAAUAAUGAUAGUCAUAGUUGAGUCUCAUUGUUUACAAAUGCCAUUUGUAAAUUUUAUUUUGAAGGUGAGAAAAACACAAGAAGGGGGUUGAAGUGUGUUAACUUUUUCUUUUCUUUCUCUAUCUGAAACAAGCAGGUCAGAAGCAGGUAGAAUUCUACUUCUGAAGAGAUGUUCAGAACUAAAUGCAGCGGAUACGAAUAGAGAGAAAGAGAGAAAAAAGACACAGACAAUUUAUACAGGUUCCUUCCACAAACUGGAAGUCAGUCAUGUCCCCCUUGCACUUCCAAGGGGAGUUCACUAUGUAAUAUCUGAUUACAAAUGCUCACUACUAAACUUAGUAUGAGACUUCAAAUUGCUCAAGCACAACUGCAAGAGACUUCCUAUGCUCCUGAACACAAUCAAGAGACUUCUAUUGCUCAAGCACAACUGCAAGAGACUUCUAAAUUCAAACAGAAUUACAAUGAAAAAUGUUUGAGGUUGAACACUUGAUAUACAAUCAAUGGUGUUCACAAUACAAAUCACAGACUCUAGAAUUCCUAAGAUAUAAGCUUUGUUAUGAAAUUCUAAGUGAACUUUGAAGUGAAGAGCAAUUUCAACAGAGUUUUAGCUUAACUGAUGCGUAGUAUUGUUCUUUAGUAACUCUGAGUCUUCACUCCUUUAUAUAGAGUUGUGAAAGAGACGUUGAAAUGUCUUCUUAUUCAAAAUAGAGUCGUUUGAAGCUCUUGAUCUAUCACCAAUGAUCUUUUGCCUGAUAUGGUUAUUGUCCUAUGAAGGAUCAAUUUCAAAUGUGUUCCCAAUGUGAAUAAACAUUGUUGCAGGCAGAGCUGUUAUCCUUGUCUUGUAGCAGAGACAAACUCAUAAUAGUGGAGGUAGUGGUUGUACACUUCGUACAAACGUACUAUGUCAACGCUCUUUGAAGAAAAAGCAUCCAAUGCAUUUCAAAAUAGUCGUGCCACAAUUUUCCAGUCUUCUGCAAUCUUUAGGCGAGUUAGAGUCCUUGAAACAGCUUUUGAAAAUUUAAGUUCAAUCUUCUGAUGAACUGCAGCUUCUGGUGAUACACAGCUUCUGAUGAACUUGCUUCUGAUGACGUCAUCACUUCAGAAGCACUUUGUCUUUAGGCGCACUUCAAACUUCAGGAGCAGUUUUCUUCAGACGCUCGAAGCUUCUCUUUUUGUUGAUAUACUUGCUCUUUAUUUGUUCUUUGAAGACCAAUUUAAUAUGACAAUUUUUUUUCUAUAGUCCUGUACACUUGAACAAAUAUUAGCGUAUCCAAUUGACAAUUUUUAAUACUUUAUUAUCAUCAAAACUCUCAAGGGUUAUUAUUGCUAAACAAAUUUUAUUCCAACACAUUUUACAUACAUAAUCAAUCAAACAAUAUGUUACUCGCAUUUCUUUUUACUUUAUAUUUAGUUAUGUUUUUAUUAGCUUAGUUCUCAAAAAUCACAACGGAAGAACGUAGUUUCUUUCUACUUUAUACUUACACUCUUUAAAGAAUGGAAGAACAUCGUUUCUUUCUUGGCAUAAUCGUUUGGAGGAAAAGAGAAUCAUUGUUGAGAUCUAUUAGCCAGUUCAUCAGCUAAUUUGGCAACAAUUUGUAAUAAUAAAAUUGUUGUAUUAAUAAAAACAAAGCAAGGUGAGGACUAAAAAUUACCAAAUAACUGUGUGAAUAUUGGUAAUAAGAUAGGAAAUAAGAGAAGGAGUGAUAAAGAAAGGGGUAAGGGCUACAAGGGUCAGUGGCCCCAAACCAUCAUCUACGAAGGACACAGUAGCCUGUGCAAUAGCAGCAUGUACAAUAGUGACAUAUUUUACCCUCCAAUUCAUCACUCUUUGCUAGCAAGAAAACUUUUAAAUUUUACCACACAUAAUUAAUUUUCCAAUACAAAUUAAAUGAAAGAAAACACACAUAGAAAGAGAUAUUGUUAUAUAUGCAUACGGGUGGACAAGCAUGCAUGUAAAGUAGCAAAAUAAAUUAUUUAAAUAUUCAUAUGACACAAAAUGAUUGAGGAAUAUAACAAGAGAGGGUAGCUAAAUUUUACACACAAGAAAACAAUAGCCAGAAGAUAAAUAGCUAGGUAUAUUGUUUUCUUCUCCUCGUCUCUUCAUUACUCUUGUCUCCUUAGAUCCUUUCCUCUUGCAACCUUUUUGCUCUCAAUCUGUGAGUUUUUUUUUCUACUUUUUCUUCUGACAUGAAAAAAACAACCACAAAAAAAUCAAAUAUAUAUAUAUUUCAGCUCUUUCUAGCUUCUUUAAAUUAUUUUGUUAUAUAGUUUCUUUAAUUUAACUGAUCUCUUUUUUGUUAUCCUUGUUCCAUGAGAGAAGGAAACAUGUUAAUGAAAUUUUUCUUUUAGAAGAAGAAUUAAACAUUUGAUUAUUAAGUUUUUGUUUAAAAAUUUCAGAUUGCAAAAUAUAUAAUUAUGGCGGCUGCUUCUUCAUCUACAUCAUUCUUUGGAAUCAGAGAAGAAAAUCAAAGUCAAAUAACACAUCAUCAUCCUCAUCCUCAAUCAACUACUACUUCUGCUACUUCCUCAGCUCCUUCAACCACAGUUCCUCAAAAGAAAAGAAGGAAUCAACCUGGAACACCAAGCAAGUAGCUUAAUUAUUUUUAUUUUCAUUAUUACUUAAAGCUUCAACAUGCACACACCCUUCUCGAAUUUUUUUUUUUUUUUUUUUUUGUAUUAUUUUCUCAAAAAACAAGCAUAAUGAAACCCUAAAUCAUGAACAUGAGUUAGGGCUCUGAAUUUCUUUUACAAAAAAGCUAUAUAAGAACUAUGUUUAGGGUGCAUGCAGUCUCCUCCAAUUUUAUUCUCAAAAGCAUAUGAGACUUCGGUUUUAAUUUUUGUAAUAAUUUUUCUAACUUCUACUGUUUUUUACUACUAUUACCAUGAGUUUGUGGCUUUUAAAUGGAAAAAAUAACAAUAAAACAUAGUUCUUCAUUUCAUGGUGCAUAUAUAUUCAAUUAUGAAUACUUCUUUUGAUGUUAAAAAAACUAGAAUUUUAUAAUAUUUUUCUUAUACAAAAAAAUAUAUAAUAUUUUGUUGUUUUGGCAUUUUUCAUGGUAAAAAGAUCCAGAUGCAGAAGUGAUAGCACUAUCUCCCAAGACUCUAAUGGCAACAAAUAGAUUUAUAUGUGAGGUUUGCAAUAAAGGGUUUCAAAGGGAGCAAAAUCUUCAACUUCAUAGAAGAGGACACAAUCUUCCUUGGAAGCUAAAGCAAAAGUCCAACAAAGAGCCAAGGAGAAAGGUUUAUUUGUGUCCUGAGCCCACAUGCGUCCAUCACGACCCUUCAAGAGCUUUAGGAGAUCUAACUGGAAUUAAAAAGCAUUUCUCUCGUAAGCACGGUGAGAAGAAGUGGAAAUGUGAAAAAUGCUCAAAGAAAUAUGCUGUUCAAUCUGACUGGAAAGCACAUUCUAAGACUUGUGGUACUAGAGAAUAUAGAUGUGAUUGUGGCACCCUCUUCUCUAGGUAACAAACAUCAUCUUUAUAUUUAUAUCUUCACAUCGAUGUUAGUCUAAUUAUAUUUCAUAAAUAUGAAUUCAUCACUCUAUAUACAUAAUAUAUGCUACACUUUUGCCAAAUGUUAGGGUUAUACUUAUAUGGUUUGGUAUUGAAUAUUAUUUUAUUUUAUAGAAGUUAGUGUUUGAUUAUUUUUUUACUACCAAUUUUAUUAUAAGAAUUCGAUUAUUUUAAUCAUGUUUUUUUUCAUCAUUCAAUUGCAAGGAAAAUGGUCAUAAGUCAUAACAAUCUGAAGUUUUGCAAGAAAGCAAGUAAAAUCCAACCAAACCGUAGAUCAAACUCAUAGACUCCUUAUAUAUCGUUCUCUUUCUUUCCUCUUCGUAUUGAGCUCUAAUUUAUCUAAAUUGAAGUACUCUUUAAACUUCUUUACUAAGGAACCUUUUACAUAUAAAAAGGUGUGUGUAUAUAUAUAAAUAUAAUAAGUUGAAUUUUUUUACAAUAAGUAAAAACACACAAAGGUUAAAUUUGAACAACAGUCUCUUUUAUGUUCUUAUCCCAAAAAAAAGUGAACAAGAGCUUUCACCCUUUCUCUGUUAGUUUGUGUUUGGGUGUUAGUGAAGGUGUAUAUUGUAUGGCGCAGGAGACUGCAUGCACGUGAGUACACUGUUCAAAUGUAGUACAAAAAUUGAAAUGUUUGAAGGAAAAAAAAUCAACUUUGGUUUUAGGGAACCGUGCCCAUAAUCUUUUAACGUUCACGUGUAGUGAAACAACAUAAUAACUUUGUUCUCAUAUGAAAUGGAUUGGAGGAGAUGCUGGGUUUUGUUCUCUUUCUUGUUAGCUAUUUCUAGUUUUCAAAAUUCAAAUACAUUUCCAUGUUCUUUUUAGCAAUGGGUCCAAGGUGACUAAUUUCCAUGUUACUAACAGAAAAUUCUCUUCAUUAAUUGGUCAUGUUUCUCAUAUAGAUUUGCUAGAAAUUAUGUGAUAUAACGAAUUAUCUUGGUAGAAUAUAGACAAGUAUUGAGGUUGCUUGCAUUUAUUAAGUAGGCCCCAUAUUGAAAUUUUUGAGUAUUGACUUUCAUCAUAGUUGCAAACAAUUCUCUCUUUUAUUGAUCAAAGAAAGACCUCAAAUUAGAAGUUUGAUUUAGAAAUUCUUGGUUUGUUUCAAAUUUUGGCAUAAUCCCAUGGGCCCUCUACUUCAAUUGUAGUUUUCUUAAUUUCAACAUACUAUACUAGUUUCAAUUAAUUCCAAUUAAAACAAUUAGGUUACUCAUAUUCAUUACACAAAUAUAUGGGAUUAUAAUAUGAACUUCCAAAGGCGAACAUAACUAUUUUUGGUAAAUUUUAAUACAAUAUUAGAUAUGUUCUCCUUUUUACUAUAUAUGGUAGGGGUCUACAUUAUACCCACCCAAAAAAAUUGACAAUGAUAUAUAUAUGUUGCUUAAUUCUUUGUAAUUAAUUUUGGUGCAGGCGUGACAGUUUCAUCACUCAUAGGGCAUUUUGUGAUGCACUAGCACAAGAGAGUGUAUUAAGACACCAUAACCCUUUUGGGAGUACUCAUCAAUUGUAUGCCACAAACCAUCACAUUAGUUUAGGCCAAAUAUCCCAUCAAUUGCAAAAUCAUCAGAACCAAAUUACAUCAUCCACUAGCAACAAUAACAACCUUUUGCGCCUUGGAUCAGCACCACCAAAAUUUGAACAAAACUUAAUCUCAUCACCACCUUUAAAUCACUCUUCAUCAUUUGGACACUCAAUCCCAUCUUCAUCACCAUUCUUCAAUAUGAGUGAUAUUUCAAAUCAAUCCUUUGAAGAACAACAAUCUCAACAAGGACAAUUCUUAAACAAACAACUACAUGGUCUAAUGCAUCUUCCUGAUCUUCAAGGCAAUACAAAUACAAACAAUUCAAAUUCUUCCAAUCUUUUCAACCUUAUGGUUCAUGAUCAAUUCAACAACAUGAGUAGUACCCAAGGAACAACACUUUACAUUAACAACAAUAGCUCUUUAAGUGAUCAUCAAGUUGGUUUUGUCAAUUCAAUGCAACAUGGUCAAAACAUGUCUAGUCCUCACAUGUCUGCCACUGCAUUGCUUCAAAAAGCUUCUCAGAUUGGUUCAACUAAUUCUACCAACAAUAACAAAGGUAGUAAUAAUGAUCAUAAAUCAGGUGAUAGGGACUUUGUUGUGUCUGAUCACAACAACAUCAAUGCCACUUUUGGAAAUAGAAGUUCAAGUAUUGAAAAUGAUCAUGACAACAACGAUCUUCAUGGAUUGAUAAACUCUAUUGCAAAUGGAAACACAUCAUCCAUAUUUGGCAAUGAAAGCAAUCUUAAUAUGAGAUUUGGUGGAUCUGAUAAGUUAACUUUAGAUUUUCUUGGUGUUGGAGGAAUGGUCAGAAAUAUGAGUGGUGGAUUUUCACAAAGUGAACAACAACGUGACAUGAUGAAUACUAGUAUGGUUUCUUUGAAUCAUGACCUAAAAUCAGCACAUUCAAGUCAACAUUUUGGAAGCUCAAAUAUCUUGCAAUGAAGAUUGGGGUGAGAAAUUUAUUAAUUUAAGGAAAUAUUGCUUGUUAGUUACAUGUGAAUUAUUCAUUAAUUAAGUAGUAAACUUUGUUUCAAACAUUUAUUUAUUUUAUUUUUGUUUUCCUCAAAAGAAGUGCAGUUCAUUGGUAAAAUGAGGUUCCAAUUCUAGAAAUUACUACAAAUUACAAUCCCUUAUUUUAUUUUAACACGUCCCUUUCCUUAUUCUUUGCUCUCUAUGAUGUGAUAGAGAGAUGUAAUAAAUUCACUUUUGAAUUUCAUGUGUGAGCGAACAUGAGAUAAUAAAGUUUAUAGAAAAAAAAAAUUGAUUCAUUAUAGAUUUUCCUCUAAGAAAAUUAUUUCUCAAUCACAGAGGGUAAAAUUCCAUGCUCGAACCAAGAAAAAAUAUUCAACCUAACAAUUUCAGCAUUGUUAGUUGUGCUAGGUUUUACGGACCAGGACAUCAUCGUUGUCUACCAAUUUUUUUUUACAGAUUUGAGGCGAUUUAAUUUGGUUGAUAAACACGAGUAAAUUACUCAAAUGCCCCUUGGCAGUUAACUGCCGAAAUUUUAAAAAAUCGGCUGCAGUUAACUGUCGAGAAAUUUCAAACCUGAAAUUAAAUAAGGAAAUACACCUAUGUUUUCCUUAAUUAAAUUUAAAUCUUUAAUCCUUUUAAGGAAUUAAACAUAAUUAUUUUUAUGAUUUCAUUCAUAUGAUUUUGUUGCUAUAAAUGAAGAAAUAUGAGAGAUGAAUAAUAUCUGUAAUCGGUAGUUAAUAGACCUAAAAUGAUGAUUCAAUAAAAAAAAUGCAACAACAAAAACGUUACAAAUGAUAGAAUAAUUAUAUUUGUAAUUAUUAGUAAUUAAUUUCAUUGAUGUUGUUAUUAUUCAUAAGUUUGACUAACCUAUUAUUACUUUAUACUAAUAUUUUAGAUAUUAUUACUUUAAUUAACAUGAAAAACGCAACAACAAAAAAUAAGGGGGAUUUAUUGGAUUAAGAUUCUAUGGGAUUUUAAAAGAUUUUUUAAUUAUGAAAAAGUCUUGUGGUAUUCAAUCAAAACUUUUUGCAGCCGGUUCUUUAAAAUUUCAACAGUUAACUGUCGAAGGAUAUUUGAGUAAAUUACUCGUAUUUCUCAGUCAAACCAAAAGUGUGAACAGCAAUACUCAAUUUCAAAAACAUGUAUAUGCCACGGUAAAUAAAGCCAGUUGUUGACUUGUUGAUAGUUGUGUUGUUAUUACUUGUGUACAAAUGCUUACCAAACGAGGGUGGGAUGUUGGCACUCUGUUAUGUUAAGAAUCUUCACGUUUUGGCUAUAUUCCAAUGGAAGCGACAGAGCCUCAUUUCCGUUCAAUUUCAUCUUUGUUUUUUUAUAUACGACGUACAAAUACUAACUAACUAAAGGUACAUUAACUUUAAAAUAAAGCAAGAAAUUUUGUAGUAUUGCUUACCUAAUAUAUAUAUACCUUACUUUUAAAAAUACAUAUUAAAAUAUAUGUAAUAAAAAAUUAUAUUAAAUGCUAUAUAAAUGUUAAAUGUUAGAGUCUCACAUUGAAUAUGAGAAUAGUAUAACAAUAUGUUUACAAGUUAUUUAUAAUAGGUUCUUAAUAAUAAUACUAAAUAAAUAUCAAAACUUAUUUAUAUAGAAGUUAUUUUAGUAUUAUUAAGAGCCUAUACUUUUUUUUUGAGCAAAAGAGCCUAUACUUAAUUGAUAAGAAAUUGUUACCAAUAUACCAACUCCAUUAAGUACCAUAAAUUUGAGAAAGAGACCUUGCAUAUUUUUCAGGUGAUUUUGUUGACAUCUUUUUCUCUUAACACUAGGAAGGACCCUUUAGUUUUUCAUUGUAAUAUAAAUAUUCUUGUACAAGUUGACUACCUUUGAAUUUGCAUGUCGUCGUUGAUGGCUAUAUAUAGGGUUAGAUCUAACGUCAUUGUUCAUUUGGUGGAAGAUUUUUAUGAGGAGUGUGUGGUACAUAACAUAUGCAACAUAAAUAACAUAUUAGCAGUAGUCUCUGCAAUGUUCGUUAUUGUAAUUACUGGUAAAAUAGCUGCGACACUUUUGUCGCAUGUAAAUUCCUUCUUCACAUGGAAAUCACCCGUCCGUGAGUGAGUGAAUGAAUGAGUGACUAUUAACCAACCAACCCAGUCAUUUCAUUUCGCCUUCACUCUCUACCCGUUACAGUUUUUCUAACUUUCUUUCUUUAGAUUGAGUAACUUCAAUAAUGCAAUGCAACUAAAGAUUAUUACUUACAACUUCUAUGCUCAAAUAAUUGUUGCAAUGCAAUUAAACACUCACUCAUGCGUGUCCCCGUGAGCCUAAUCCAGUUUGUAGAGACAUUGCAUUAUAUAUAUAGAGGUUGGGGUUCAAACUCAAACACUCUACUUAUUCACCUUAAAAAAAAUGAAUUUAAGUCAAUUGGCUACCUGACUAAAAAAAAACGCACUCAUAUGUUUUAUUUCAUAAGCUGGUUUUAGACCUUUUUAUCUGAAAAACUUAUCUCACAUUGUAGUUGAUAUGUAUGGUUAGACCUUUUGUGAGGUUUGUGUGUCCCCUAGUCUAUCACUCUCUCACAGUUAAACUACUUUGUUUUUGAGAGGUUUGUAUACCUUACUUAAAAACAACUAUCAUUCUCUCAUCAAUUUCAUCAUUAAGCUAUUAAAAUUAACUAAAAAGUACCUAAACUAUUCUCACAUAUAACUAUUAGCCCCUUGGUUGACAAAGUUAAUUUUUUUUAUGAUGGUUUAUGGACUAAAUUGAUAUAUUUUUUAUAGUUUAAAGAUCUUCUAGUUGAUUUUAAUAACUCGAAGGCUAUAUAUGUGAAAAAAUUGAUAGUUUAAGGAACAAGUUGAUUGUUUAUUCUUAAUUUGAUUGAAGUCUACUGGCACACAAAUUUACAAGGAUACGGUGGAUAUGGGGAAGUUAUACCUGAUAUCCCUACAUUUAAUCUUUUACCCCCUACAAAUUGUUGAAAAUGCCAAAUUUACCUUUUAUCAUUUCACUUCACCCUGCAUAAAAUUUUAGCCAACAAUACACUUCCGAGAUUUAAUACUCCAAUUUUCGGAAUAUUCAUAUCAAAUUUUUAUGGUAGAUUAAUUUGUAAACCGGAACAAUUGAGUAAAGAAUUAUUAUCAGAAUUCUUUCUUCUUUCAUCGAGGUUUGAGAGACAAUGAAAGAUGGAAAAUAGAAUACAACAACCUGUAUUAGUUAAUAUAAAAUUAAGUGCAAAGCAAAGAUCAUGAUACCAAACCUCAUCAAUUCUUCUUCCAAUUCAUUUUAUUUAGAUCUAAAAAAAUGAAAGGCCGUAUAUUUCUGGAGUAGAAUUUUAGAUGUAAGGUUGGGAAAUCAAAAAACCUGGCUAAAACUGCAGAAACCUGUUUUCUGAAUUCUUUCUAAAAAAACAGUGUAAAAAAAUGCUUGUCUCUUUAUCUGUAGAUCUAAAAAAAAAUCAUUUCUAAUUCAUCUUGUUUGGAAAUAUGAAUACGAAAAGUUGUAUAUUUUAAUUUUUUUUAUUUUUACAAAAUACCGUUGUUGGGAAUGUGAAUAAUCUAAGAUUAAAUGUAGGGGUGGUAAAAGAUUAAAUGUAGGGGUAUAUGGUAUAAUAUCCUGGAUAUGGUAGGCUUAUAUUACUUAGAACCCAAAUCAUGUUACUUAGGCCCGUCAUCAUGGACUUUUUUCAUGUGGUUUCCAUGCAGGCUAGUUGAAUAUUGCUCUUUAGGCAUCCAUGUUUUGCUCUCAGACAUUUUGAAAUUAUUAUUUUACCUCAAUGAAAAUUAAUUACCAUUUGUUGAUGAACGAUGGUUAGUUUUCAUUCUCUUAUGAACAGUAGUUAAUUGUCGUUCUAGGGCAUUUUAUGUGGUUCAGAUUGCGCAGACAGUUUUUGUGGUCCACGAUACAUAAAAACUUCUAUAAAUUGGUGUGUUUGGUUCAUUUGAAACCACACCACAAAAUCAUGAAUAUUUAUCUAGUAGAUCCGAACACCAAAUUAGCGCAGUUAACUACAACGGGGAAAACUCAAUAUGUUUAGGGUUCAGGUUAAUGCUAUAUCGGUUGACUUGAAGGAACAUAGUUGGACCAAAUUAACAGUCGACUCAACCACAAAGACACAAGAAAGGUGGAAAGUGUUGAGUAUCGUCAUCCAUUCGUUUGACUCAUAUGAAAGCGUCAAGUUCACCCAUAUGAAGUUCAAGAACAACGACAUCGUGAGAACCAUCAAGUUAGACGCUUCAUUGGUCAAAUAUUUUUUAGAUGUUCCGGAAAGUUUGAUUCAGAUUAGGACCUUCAAAGAAAACAGGACUUGCAUGGAUAGACCAAAAGAAAUAAGUAUGUCUUAUUCGUGAUUUUGUAUGUGUUUUAUUAUGUUGUUAAAUUAUGUUAGUGUAUUGUGUUUUAUUAUGUUUAAUGUAUGUUUUUGUUAACUUAUGUCAUUGAAAUUAUGUUAAUGUAUUGUAUUUUAUUAUGUUUAAUGUAUGUUCUUCUGAGCUUUCCUUUGUAACUAAUGAUUAACUACAGUUUCUUCUGAAAACAACAAUUAACUAUUGUUCCUAGAAUGGGAGUUAACUCUUGUUUAACAACGAAAAAUAAUUAAUUAUUAUUUCGGAUAAAAUAGUCAAUUUGAGACGUGUUAAAACAAAGUAUGAGUGUCUAACGAACAAUUUUCAAGAUAGUUUAGUCCUUUUUGGGUUCUACCUUUUUUUUUUAUGAGUAACUUCUACACCUAGUUUCCAUUCUUUUUUGUGUUAAUUGUCCGAUUUCUUAGCAUGUGCGUAACUCACGCAGCGUGACUUAAGUCACACAUGUGUAAAAACUAAGUCAUGUAUUUUUUACACUUGCGCUAAUUAACUAACGCAAGGGUAUUUUCGGCAACACUGCAGGGCGCGAGUGUUUUGUGUUGGGUGAAGAGCAGAAUUCUAAAGUCAUAUAUAUAUAUUAUGGUUUUAAAAGGGUAAUUGCUAAAUCAGAUUCAUAGGAAGCAACUAAGUUAAUAUUGAAAGGGCAUGGUAAAGGGCACCCUUGUUCUCAUAUCAUUUCUCAUAUUUCUAAUUUUCUUGUCUAAUUCAUGAGUUACAAGUUUCAACGUGUCUAACGUGAAGCCAACAAAGUCGUGAAUGCUUUUGCAAGGAAUAUCCAACUUCAAAGUAUUAGCGCAGCUUUAACUUGAUGAACAAACUUAGAGUUUUCUAGGGUUUUAAUUUGAUUUUGUUGAAAUAGAGAGAGAAUGAGAAGAAUGGGUGAAUGAGGAGACAAGAAGUAUUAAAGUUGUGAUUUCAUUUAUAUGUAAAAAUACACAUGAAAGUAGCUUAUAUACAUGGUUUUUUGCUAGGUUACUUGAAGUACAAGUCAUAUAACAAACCCUAAAUACCUUAAGCUAAAAUCUAGUAAAUUUGUAACAAACUAUUAACAAACUAAACUAACUAGAUUUCUAAUGUGAUUAACCAAACAAGCUUGAUUAGAUCACUAACAAACUUGAAUUAUCAACUAACACAAAGUUGCGAUAAUAUAAAAAUAAUAUCAGAACUAGUCUCUCUUCAAAUGAAUGAUGCAUCACAACUUAUCUUUCUCCUUUGAUGGAAAAAUUUGUUCUAAUACCAAUUAUUGAAGGAAAAAAAUCAAUAAAAAAUCUUUAAACAAGCGGGAACACAACCACAAAAUAAGUAAAAGAGAUAAAAACAAAUCACAAGCCUAUUUUUCGAUACUUCACAGUUCACACCUUCAUUCAUAAUAUCUUAACAAAAUAUUUGUUACAAAAAUAUGCAUAGUUUUACUAGGAAUUGCAAACCCUCUUGUACAAUUAUAAUUUUUGCACAGAAAUAUUGCAAACUAAUCUUUCUCAAUUACAAUUUUUGUAAGAAAAACUACAAACUCUUUCAUGACACACAACUACCCAACCUCUUUUUUUUUUUUUUUUUUUUUCAUUACUCGAUGUGCGAUGUGAAAGAAUAUCAAUUUUAGAGAACAAAUGGCUAUAAUUUAUAGGUGGCCUUUAUGAUUUUUGGCACAAAUUUUCAUACUGUGAAAUGUGAAUAGAUGCAUGUGCAGAGAUGGAGUUCAUAAUUUAAAUCUUACGUUAAAAAUAAAACAAGUUUUUAAUGUUAUAGUUUAAAAAUAAAAAAUUGUUUCUUAUAUACAAUAUUUUUAUGAAUAUUUACAUAGUUCUUAAAAAAAUUAAUAAUGAAUGGUAUAUUCGUGUCCUGUAUGACACAAUGAAACAUAUGCACAUGAUUAAAUUAUACAUUAAGCCUAAUCAUAUGAUCUGAAAAGAUUUUCUCUACAUUUCGUCGAGCUAGCAAGGUAGAUAGAUGUCAACUAAUAAGUUGAUGAAAUCGGCUAAAAAAGAUUCCCAGUUGAAGUUUAUUAUUUUUUUGGUGCAACCCAGUUGAAGAUUUUAUUAACUUUGAUGAUGGCUCUGAACUACCAAGUUUUCUAGAACUUGAACAAGUCCUUAAUUUUAGUUGAAUUGCAAUACUAUGUCUAUAUGUAUAGUAUACCGUUUCUGGUUUCAUAGUCUGUUAAUUUUAAGGAAUUUUUUCAAGUGGCUCAAAAAAAACAUAUACAGUACAUUCUUUAGUUUUAUUUACAUCGUUUUCAAUCUCUUUCGCUUUUUUAAAUAUUUACGCAGAAAACAUUUUUUUUUUUUUUUCAAUCAGAAAGAGGCAAAAUUAAGAUUUGCAUUGGUUUUAGUCAUCACCUACUACAUUAAAUUACUAUUUGUGGAAAAUAUUGUUUAUAGCGUGAAACUGUGCUCUGACUGGCUCACAUGCAAACGGACAGUGGCAAUAUUGUUUAAGGAAGUAUUAAUCUUUUUUUUUUUUUUUUUUUUGACAGAAACCAUAUAGUAUUAAUCUAUUAUUACUACUAUAUAUGCAUAAAAAAGGACCAAUUAACCGACAUGCUUUGAGUUAUUUUGUGUUUUUUUUUUUUAUUGUUUCUGAAAAAAUCAACCAACAUGCUUCUUUUUUUGCGCUAACUAAAACUAAUUUAUUUAUGCUACUAAUCAAUUUAUUAAGACUAAAACUUGAGUACAAGUUAGUCUUUUUUUUUGUAGUUGGUGACCUACAAGUGGUACUCUUGUACUCAUUAUACUCAAAGUCAAGGGUACAUGCGUAUGUGUUAUGCUGAAUUCGAAAAUUCAUAGUCAAGACCCAGCAAUAUCAAGAUAUAUACACACAUGUCCUAAAGUGCAUUCUGGAGAAUAAGAACUACAAGUCUAAAGUUUUUCUUUUUGUUAGUAAAGUUAUUUUAGUCCAAGUUUAGACUAUACAACGCUGACUAUGAAAUAUGAAAGGAAAAAAAAACCUUCAAUUUUUGUCAAAAAAAUAAAUUCCAUUGUCUCUAACUAAUUAUUGAAAUUUUAAACAUGUGUUUGGUCUAACGGUAUGGUAGAAAAAAUCACGGCAAAAAUUCACGGUAACUACAAAAUCUAAAAAUUUGUAAUUUCUUUGAAAUUUGAGUUUGUAACUUCGAACGUCAAAUAAUCGUUCAUUAAGUCUCUAAAGCUCACAUGAUCAGACCAGCUUUGAUUGCAAAAUAUGACCAACUAAUUACUAAUAAACAUUUAAUUUUGUUAGCAGAUCAAUUUAUCUGUUUAAUGUUAAAAUAAAUCUGAUCCAAUUCAAUACUUUUGGACAUAGAUUGAAAUGGUUUCCCCCCCCCCCCCCCCCCCUUUUUUUUUUUUUUUUUUGUAAACUAGGUAUCCUCCGCGCGCAACUGCGGAGACUAAUCCCUCGAGCAUUGUGAGACCCAAAUGGACGGCAGACUCUCCCUAAGAGUUUUAACGCUGCUGGAGGUAUUGUAAAUAAUAUUUUGUGUUAUAUUAUUUUUAAGAGUGUAUAUUUCUAUAUAAAAAGAGUGAGUUUUGCCUUCAACCUCGAGGUAAUCGGUUUGAGACCUAGGCACUGAGAACAUGAGUUUUUUCGAUUAGCUCUUUAAAAAAUUAUUUAUAGGAGGAAUAAUUGUUUUUAUGGAAUUUGUCGUGUAAUAAAAAUCUAAAUCGUCUAGUCUACAAUUUUGUAUAGUCUUCAAUUAUGUUGUGAAUUCGGGCUUUGAAACUUCACACCAAUCCAAACUAUGAUGUGUGGAGAAAGUAUCAAUGGCAACCAACAACCAAAUUAACCAUAAGCAAUAACAAUAAUAUAUACCAAGUCUAUAAACCAAGUGCAUAGCAAAAUCACAAUCCAACCAAAUAAUAAACAAGAUAAAAGAGUAAAGAAAAAUAGACAACAACACCAAGAGAUUGUUCACCCAGUUCGGUCCAACCAUGACCUACUCUGGAGGAGAGAUUGAUCUCUUCAAUCCACUAUCAAUGAGUUCUUACAAAGAGAUACAAAUGAGUUACAAGAAAUUAGCUUCAACAAGCUCACAAAAAACAACCCUAAUUUCUACCAAUUUUCCCAAUCUCACCAAUGAACAAGACACUCAUGAUUUUUACUCUCCCAAGGUGUUUACAAUUGUUUCACAACUCUAGAAUCUAACCCCCAAAAGAGAACCAACUCUUAGCCUUUGAUUUCACUUAGGAUCUUCUCUUUUGGUUUCACAAGACUCACCCAAGUUGCUCGCAAAUGACUCUCCACUCAUGUGUUUCCCAACCCCAUGAAUCUUCUCCAAAAGGCACCAACCCUUUUCACAAGAGCCCCCUCUUUUGGUUCUCCAAGAUUCACAUCUUGAAGCUUUGAACCUCACCCAAAGACCCUCAACCUUUAGUAUCUAAAACCCUAAAAGUUUCAUCCUUUGGUUGUUAUGGGAUUCACCAAGCUUACCCAACAAAUGGAUCAGGGAGUGUUUAAAACAUGUUUCAGAUCUGUCAAAAUCGUGUCACAUUUUGCCUUCAGAACCAAACAUGCAUUCGGCAUCAGAAAUCGUGACACGGUUGCCAAAUCGUGUCAUGAUUCUUCACUUUCAUAAAGACUUAAUUUUGAGUCAUAUAUAUACCAACAAAUUCAAAUUAUAUAAAUGGACGGUAUAUUCUUUAGUAAAAGUAUUAUUUCACAAUUUAAUACGUAUUAUUAAAAGAAAUUAGAAACAAUUAUCAAAAAAUUAUGAUAGAUAAUAUAUUAAACUCGUCUAGUGUGUGUGUAUUUUUGAAGGAUAGUGUGUGUGUGUAUUAACAUCAUUCUCUAAUUAUUUUUGUAGGGAAACAAUGUUGGUUAAAUUGAUGUGUACUUUUUUUUGUAAAAAAUAAUCGACGUAUUUUUAAAUGAGAUUUACAUGUAGAGAGAGACAGCGGUAGACAUAGUAGUAGAACAAUUAAAAUUUAAAAGACCACUUUACAAAUUGCACCAAGUGGUCCUCUAAAAAAGAUCACCGACAGUUGCUUCACUUUACCUUCAUAUAUUUUAGAGCAAUGAUAUUUGAACAAUUAUUUAGUACAACAUUUUUUGACAAUCUUCUUUUUCUCUCUUUUUAUUGGUCAAAAAUAAUGAAGAGAAAAAAGAAGAGAUAGAGUAAAAAUAUAAUAUGAAUAUGAGAAAAAAAAUUGUCUAAAAAUUAUCACAAAAUGGUUGUACAAAUAUUAUUUCUCCAUAUUUUAGACACAGGCUAAUCAUUAAUUAAUUUGUGUAAAAAAAAACAAUAAUAUUAUUUUGACAACAUUAUUCAACACCUUAUCUUUCUUUCAAAAAACAUUAUUCAACACCUUAUGUUCAUAUUAUCAUUUGAUUUUCUUAAUUAUGUUUUACAUCAGUCACAUCAAGUGACAUUUUACACGCUUAUCAAUUUUUUUUGUCAAGUAGCCUAGUGUUUAGAACUCAUAUAAUUUAAUUGUGAAGAAAUGAAGUGUCAGAGAUUCGAACUCCAACCCCUGCAUAUAAUAUGCAAUAUCCCUACCAACUGAACUAAGCUCACGAAGAUCGCGGUUAUCAAUUUUUGUAGUUCAAAUAACAUCACUAAAAAAAGCUACGAGGCAGACGCACAAAUUUUCAUUGAGCAGUUGUGUUAAUUAAUUUUAUAACGCAAGGAAAAUGGUGAAGUUUUUGUGAAUAGAGAAAUGAUAUAUAUACAAUCAUUUUCAAACAACUUUUGUAAUAACUUUAUCUCUCAUUUUUAUAUUUUAUUUUUAUUUUUUUCUCUAUUAUUUUGGUUUUCGUUUAUGAUUUUUUGUAAGAAAAUGAUUGUCUAUGUAGUUAUCAAUCACAUUGAUGUUCAAAUAACAUUGCUUUUGUGAAUAAUGCAAAAUAGUUUCUCGGAACAAUCAAUUAUUCAAUUGAUAUUUACGAAAUUAGUUUUUGUAGGGUGUCCCUAUAAAUCACAUAUACUUUAAAACAGUCAUAUGUAUUCACGAUUCGAGAUCUUAUAAAAAAACCAUUCCAGAUCAUGUAUGAAAAUGAAAUAUAUAUUUUUUUUGACUGGUGUAUGAAAAUGAAAUAUUUUCAAAAAUAAAAUAUACUCUCUGCCCAUAUAAUGUCAGCGUAGGUGUCGGUGUUUUUCUACCGACUAUAAGAAAAACUGUAAAAUAAAUAAAACAAUAUAGUAAUUUAAAUUAGUGAUUGUAAAUUAUUGUCUUAAAUGUAUAGUUCAAUAUAAUAGAUUAAAAAUGAUGAAAAAAAUAUUAAUUUAAGAGUAGAAUUGAAAUAACAUAUAUGUUUUCGAUAGUUUAACUAAAUUGAUAAAGACAUUGCAUAAUAAUAUACAAGUGUUUUGAAAUUCCAUUUAUUCAUUACAUGUGAAUUUUUAGAUAUUAAACUAUUUGGAAAAUAAAAUAAAAUAUCAAAUAAUUAAGGUUUAAAUAUGUAAGUAGUCCCUGUAAUUUCGCGUAUUUUUGUUUUCGUUCCUGUAAGUUAUUUUGUUCUAAAACAAACUCUGUAUUUUGCUAACCUUUUGGAAAAGGUCCUUGCCGUCAGCUUCCGUCAACAAAAACGCCAUGGUGGCUAACGGAGCACACGUGGCAGUUCAUGAGUUGGCAAAGUUGAUGAGAUGGAAUGAGAGAUGAUAAGUUGUUAAAAUACAGGGACUAAAAUCAAAAACGUAAAUUGACACAGGGAUGAAAUUAAAAAAACGUUUAAUCUUCUUUUUCCUCUCAAAUUUCAGUCUUCUUCUUCCUCUCAAACUUUCCCCAAUCUAUCCCAUACCUUGCGCCCUUGAACCAAAACUCAUAUCCUUCAACAAUUUAUUCUAAUUCCAUUACUCAAUCAUAUUGUGUGUUUUGAUUGUAAUGUUAAGUUGAAACAUUGUAUGCUACUUAAGUUUGAUUAAUUUAGUGAUGGUUGUUGCGAUUGAUUGCAAAUUCAUUCAUAAAGUUUGUAGAUAAUAAAGGCAAGAAUACAUCUUUUUCAUCCCUCUUUUUUUUCCACAAUUCCCUCUUAUUCUUCCAGAUUGCUACAAUUACCAUACAUAAAUAGUCAGAUCCCCUUUCAUCUUUUCUCACUCACAUUCAAAUUCAAACUCUAAUUUCUCAAAUUUUUGCUUUUGAAUUGUGUAAUUUUGUGUUUUUAUGUAAUUGGUGUAGAGAGUUUAUGUUGUUUUAAUGUGUUGAUUAAGAGUGGGUCUUGUUGUUGUUGAUUGAUGAUUAUUAGUUUUGUUUAAAAAAAUAUAUAUGUUUGUUGUUUUCUUUCUUUUCCUGGGUUUGGUGUUGAUGAUUUAUGAAUAUGGUGAUGAAGAUGAAGAAGACAAUGAAGGAAGAAGAAGAAUAAGAUCUUGAUUUUAAAUUUGAAAUUUUGAUUUUACGUUUUUUAUUUUAGUCCCUGUGGUAAUUUACGCUUUUGAUUUUAGUCCCUGACUUUACACAACUAAUCAUCUCUCAUGCCAUCUCAUCAAAUGUGCCAAGUCAUGACCUGCCACCUGUGCUCCGUUAGCCACAAUGGCGUUUUUGUUGACAGAAGCUGAUGGUAAGGACCAUUUUCAAAAGGUCAAAAAGAUACAAGGUUUAUUUUAUAUAAAAAAAAAAACUUACAAGGACGAAAACAAAAAAUACGCGAACUUAGAGGAACCUUUUACAUAUUUAAGCCAAUAACUAAUAGCACUUAUUUUGGUACAUUUCUCUUUUGCAAAUGUGAAACUUAAUAUUGGAUGGGGUCAAUAAUUUUGAGAAUGAAUAAACCCAUUAUUUAGUCUUUUAAUUUUUUUUUUCCAUCCAUCAGGUUUCUAAACUAUUUACAAACACUAAAUGUCCUUAAGACAUAGCUCAAGUAACAAUAUUGAUAUUGAGAAGUUGGAUAUUUUCAUCCGAGUUUGAACUCGAAUUCUUGCAAUUACGAGUGUGAAUUUCAGGUAAUUUAUAUCAAUUUAUCUGUAAACAAAAGGAGAUAUAUACGCGUAACAAAUAGGUCUAAUGCAAAUUAACAACUUAUUUUUAGUUUAUAAAAUAUAUGAAAUUUAAUCCUUUAGUCCCUAGUAUAUUUUAACAAUGGGCACUAAAGCAACAUAUAUUUCAUAUAUUUUAAAUACUACUACAUCUUUCCUUAUGUAUAAGCUCAUUUGACAUUUUCACAUAUAUUAAAAAAGUUAGUAGUGUCUUGACAAAAAAGAAGCUCCUUAGAGUUUCCUUAUGUAUAUUUUUUUAAACCGAAAAAAUUGUGUACAAAAAAUGACUAUUAUUACUAAAAAAAAUCUUUUGCAUAUAGAUGUGUUCAACAUUUAUUUUGCAAUUCUCAAGACAAAUCAGUGGUACAUCUUAAUAAGUGAUAUAUUUGUUAGGAAAAAAAAUUACUAUAUGUAUCUAGUUAUUUGCAAGACUAAUGAUUCUUAGCAAAUAUGCUUAUAUUGAGAGAACUUUUUUCUAAAGAGAGCUUAUAAUUAGAGACUAAGAUUUUGCCAAAAAAUAAAGAAAAAUUAGAGAAUAAGGUUUAUACUAUACUUUAGAAACUAAUUUGAUGAGAUACGACUAAAUCGAAGAUAUAUUUUUUUAGAAUAGUGUUAGAACCUUAGAAAUUAUAAUCAAUAGAAAUAGAAAUGUUCCUUACAGAUCCAUAAUAGUGACAAUCUUGUCUUUUCUUUUGAGGAAAUAAUAAUAAAGGUGGUGCCAACAUUUCAACAAACCUAGCUAUUUUAAUUAUUCUGUUCUCACAGCCUGCACCUUAGAUCAAAUCCAAAUUGGGUCAUCACCGUUCCAAAAUGCUUAGGGACGUUACUCUAAAUGUCAAUAUGAAUGAGUAAUUCAAAUAGUUAACAUAGCCCGCCAGCCUUAUAUAAUAAUAUCAAUAUAUGUCGACUAAUUAUCGAGAUGCUAAAUUGGAGUACACUUCACAAACAAAAAUCUUUCAUAAGGCGUUUUUUCUCUUAAUACAUUUUUUCUUUUCUUAUGCUAGUAACAUUUACUCUGUAUUGGCCUUCCUAAGAAGAAGUUGGAUAGUAGCAAUGUGUUCGUGAGACUGCUGAUAUCUUAAAAGAAUGUUCUCAUAGAUUCCACUUUUUUAGUAAGCUUUUAUGUGUAUGAGUUUGCAAAUUUAACCCUUUUUAAUUCGGAUAGAUUUAUAAGUCACACCUUCAAGUACAAUCGACAAAAUUUCAGUAAUAAUUACGGUUUAGGGUUUAUGGGUCUAGAUCUACUAAAAAUGAGUGGGUGUAUAAAUUAGUAUAUCCUAGAGUUUAUUAUCUUACGUUCGAUCUUCUUUGCAGAAACUCGUGCAUGUUCGUGAUAUAUAUUUUCGCGAGAAGUACAUUUCCCUAAAACAAAAUCAACCACUGACAUAAACACGUCAAAUGUAAGCCGGUAAAUCCAAGCUUUACUAACACGAGUUAUAUUAUAUCAUUGGCAUCAGCUACUUAAGAACUACUGUAGAAAAUUUACAGCAAGUCAUCGAGGCUUAAUAAAAUGUGUUGAUAUAGUUACAAAGAUAAAUUAAAUAGCAGAGCAUACAUGAAGAGAACAAAUGUAGAGCAACCCCUUAAACAAACCCUCUCAGUAAGGUAUCUUCACAUUACUCUAAGUUCAUAAAAGAUGACUUUAAAAACGAUUAUUUCAAAAUGCAAGUAUUCUCCGACCCCUUUUUCCCGGAUCUAGAUCUAAUAGUGUAAGGAUAUAUAUAAAUCAUUGUCACAUUUUACAACUCAAGAGUUUACCUCAACUCGUUUUGUUUAGGUAAAUUCGACUCGAGAACUCGUAUGACUUUACCUAAAAUUAAAAUUAUAUAAAAUUUAUUAUAUAUGCAUGACAUAUGUAAGUUAAUAUAAUAUUGUAAAUAGGUCAAUAGUGCAAAAUAUGACUUAAUUACAAAGACAAAUUAUACCAUAAUAAAAUGUUAUGCUCAACUUAGCUUCAAAAUACAAAAAUUAACGCACAAAAUCAUAAGUCUCUAAGUUUAAGCCAUCCAUAAAACCAUCCAAAAAAAGAAAGUUUCACAAGUUCCUAAAGUUAUUAAUAAAACUAUCUAAAAAAUAAAGUAGUUAAUUUCUUCAAAACGUCAACAAACACCACCACAACAACCCUAACCAGUGUCACAAUCACCGGCGUUGAAAUAUGAAUUUCCACCGUCUGAAUCACAACCCUAAAUGGUAUGUGCUCCCCUGUUCAUGGUUUGAGAACUUAGAAAAGAAAAAGGGCAAUCCGGUGCACUAAAGCUCCCACAUACGCAGGGUCCGGGAAGGGGUCCCACCAUUUUUUGUGUAUUGUACGCAACCUUACCCUGUUUUUGAUCACAAAAGAAAAAGAAACGUUUCAUUUUAGGAACAACUUGUCACUGUAAAGGUAACUAUUAAUUAAACGUUUCAGUCUUUGGGGUUGUAGAAAAGGAAUUGGAUUUUGAAAAAAAUGGGCACAUAAAAAGGGCCAAUUUUUAGAUGUAAACUCGUAAAACUCAGUAAACUCGGUCGAGUUUACACGAGUUUACCUAGUGUUAACUCGGUCAAACUCGUUAAACCUUCCAAUUUUACCAGAAACCGAGUUUACCUCCGAAUUAACAUGAUUUUGGCACCUACGUAAACUCGAAGAGUUAACACUCAAUUUGCGGAACAUUGCAUAUAUAUUUAAAGAUAUAUGUAUAAUUAUAGAGAAAGUAGAGAAGGGAUAUACCAUUUUAUGUAGGGUUAUUAUGUAUCAAAUCAUAAAGAGUCGAGAGUUGUAUUAUACCAUAAUAUUCUUCCGUAAACUGGUAGUCAUGAUCAUGACGUAUAUUAUUCAAGUAUAUGCAAAAACAUGUCUGUAUCUAGUCUAAAUUUUUGACCAAAUGCAUGUAUUUGCUUAUAUUUUGUUACUACUUACUACUCGCCAAGUAAUGCUCAAUAUCUAAUAUAUAUAUUUCAAGACCAUCAAAGAUAACUCAGUUGAACAAUACAUAAUAUAUGCAAGGUUCGGGGUAUAUUACAUUUUCAAUUAUUCUAAUAAUAAAUUUAAAUGACACUUAAAUUAUACAACUAUUAAAUAGAUCUUAGUACCGUAAAAUUUAUAUUCGAGACUUGCUAGGGAGAACCAUCAACCUCAACAAAAAUUUCUACUUGAAUCUAACGCAAACAAAAGGUCCAACCAUCUAUGAAUCUCCGUUGAUAUCACAAAUGAUGUUUGAUACAAGAGAGACAUAUUAGAACAUAAUCUAUGUACAAUCUACAUUAAAAUAAAAAACAAGUCUACAGUCAUAUAAAUAACACAAUUUCAAAAUCUCAAAAUUAGGUAUGAAAACAAAAUGAUUAGAAAAAUAAAUGAUUCAAUCAUUCCGAGAUUUGUGCAAAAAAAAAAAAAAAAACAUUUUGAAAAUACAAUGUUAGAAACUUAUGAUCAAUAUAUAUUUUUCCUUACACAUCAAAAAUAAUUAAGCUAUAUUCUUGUCUUUUCAUUUUGGGCAAACUAAAAUUAAAAUCAAGGUAGUGUCAAUGUUUCUAUAGUCCUAGCUAUUUGAUUUUCUUCUAAGCUAACAAGAGUCUUCCAAAAUCAAAUUCGCGCUCAAAAUUAAAGCAACUUGGGUGGUAACCAUUCCAAAAUACUUAGGGCCACAUUGCUCUAAAAGUCAAUAAGAAUAAGUAAUAAUUCAAAGAUAGCCAACCUUAUAGUAUAUUUUAAUAUGAAUGUAUGCAUGUUUCCUAGAAGGUGAGUAAGCUAACUAAUCAAGAUACUUUGUUGGAGUUAAAUAUGGUAAAGAAUCCAACUAUAAAAUGGGGACUUGCCCCAGCAUUCUUUCACAAACCAAAACCAACUUCUAAGAAAAAAAUGAGGUCCCUAAUGGCCUCUGCUUCUCUCACUCUUGCAUUAGCCAUCCUCUUUUUGAGUUUCCCAUCUGAAAUUUCAGCAAACAAAUACGCAUAUUCCUCUCCACCACCACCACAUUACUCAUCUCCUCCACCUCCACCGGUUCACACUUACCCUAAACCAGUCUACCACUCUCCACCACCACCAGUUCACACCUACCCUAAACCAGUUUACCACUCUCCACCACCACCAGUUCACAAGUACCCUCACCCUAAACCAGUAUACCACUCUCCACCACCCCCAGUUCACAAGUACCCUCAUCCACACCCAGUCUACCAUUCUCCACCACCCCCAGUUCACAAGUACCCCCAUCCUCACCCAGUGUACCACUCUCCCCCACCACCACCACCAAAGAAGUCCUACAAAUACCCAUCUCCCCCACCACCACCAGUUCACACCUACCCUAAACCAGUCUACCACUCUCCUCCACCCCCAGUUCAUCACACCUACCCUAAACCAGUCUACCACUCUCCUCCACCCCCAGUUCACACCUACCCUCACCCUAAACCAGUCUACCACUCUCCACCACCCCCAGUUCACACUUACCCUAAACCAGUCUACCACUCCCCACCACCACCAGUUCACACCUACGUCCCUCACCCUAAGCCAGUCUACCACUCUCCACCACCACCAGUUCACACCUAUCCCCCACAUGUUCCCCACCCAGUUUACCAUUCUCCUCCUCCUCCAGUUCAUUCCCCACCUCCACCACACUAUUACUACAAAUCAC